CAUCAUUGAAGGAGCCUCUGUAUGUAUGCAGAGCAUCACAUAGUGGUCUGCUCCUCCUCGUCUUGGAGAGGCUGCGUUCUGUUUCUAUGGCAACACCCCUCCUCCUCAUCCCUUUCCUCACGUUCACAUCUCGUACGCAACCUCCUCUGUCUGAUUCCCUUCUCCGAGGCAACGACCCCCCUGCACUGUGCGAGACCCGCAGCAUCAAUCUGACAGGAGGAUAUAGCAGGAGACGAGACAAGGACACGGAGAAAAAACAUGGCGCUCAUCCCAUCUCAGGUGCUAAGGGUAGCCAUUCUCCUGUCCUAUUUCUCCAUCCUCUGCAAUUAUAAAGCAAUUGACAUGCCCGCGCAUCAAACAUAUGGCGGGAGCUGGAAGUUUUUAACAUUCAUAGACCUGGUGAUCCAGGCAGUUUUCUUUGGCGUGUGUGUGCUGACAGACCUGUCCAGACUGCUGACGAAGGGCAGUGAGAACCAGGAGCAAGACAGGCAGCUUAGGAAGCUCAUUGGCCUGAGGGACUGGAUGAUGGCCGUGCUGGCCUUCCCCGUUGGAGUGGUCGCCAGACACAUGCUAGUCUUUAGCCUAUAUGUUGGUCAGCCAAAUCCAUCUCACUUGUCACUGGUGAAACCGAAAGGCUGACGGAAAGGAAAGGUCCCCUAGCUAGCCUUCCCUGUGAGUCAGUGGACACCUUUCCCUGGUGCAUGCUGCUGUCUGUGGUCUUACUGGACUGCACUGGCCUCUGGGAGGGCCUUUGCAUAAGUAAGGACACCGAGUCACAUUGUCUUGGAUGCAGCACGGCCCAUUUGCUUUGCAAAUGCCAAGUCAUCUAUCAGGAUGGGUGUCAUGUGACAGCCUUGGAGGCAGCGGUCAGGCAGCGGGCAGGCAACGAGAAAAAGGAAACUGUGUUUGUCUUGCUUUUAUAUGCCCUUGUGUCCGUGAUUUCCAUCUGAUAAUUACUCUGAAAAUAUUUCAAUUGGAUCUUUGCUGCCGUCUUUUUUUUCUGUUGCAGGAAGAGGUGAUGUUUUAGUUUCAUACAGUGAGGAGGAAGGGCCAGGGUGCCCAGGCAGCAGGCGCUGAGGGGUUCGUACAGAGAUGUGUAUUUAUAAGUUUGUGGUGACCAUGUUCUGGACCCUGUACUUGUAUGACAGAGACCUGGUGUACCCCAGACUGCUGGACAACUUCAUACCCCAGUGGCUCAACCACGGCAUGCACACAACCGUCCUCCCCUUCAUCAUCAUUGAGAUGAGGACCACGCACCACCAGUAUCCCAGCAGGCCUUGUGGAACGAUAGCUGUGUGCAGCUUUGCCGUGGGAUACGUUAUAUGGAUGUGCUGGGUGAACCAUGUGACCGGCGUGUGGGUCUACCCCCUGUUGGAGCAGAUCAGUCCCCUGGCGAAGGUGGCCUUCUUCUUCUGCCUCACUGUCCUGAUUAACAUCUACUACGUCCUGGGAGAGAUCCUCAACAGCUACAUCUGGGACGCCUCCAAAUGUGUUCUAGACACAGACAAGGCUAAAUCCGACUGAAGGCCAACACGUGUGGGAACCUUGCCAUCAAGUCAAGACCCAGUCCUCACUGGGCUGCCGCAAAGACAGGCCCAAUCCCGCCUCGGACUGCAGAAUAACAACCACUGUGUAAAUAAAUGAUGGAAAAAUACGUGGGAAUGUUAUGUUGGCUUUUAAAGCUGUGUUCGGAGUCCUCCUCUUAAAAUUGUUGAGACUGUAGCUAAGAACUGAGAUGCCUGUUUUCCGUCGAUGACAAGGUGGGGUAUGAAUUCUCCACCUUUCUAUUCACUGGAGGUAUGACGAUGACAUUACAUUUACCCACUUAUUAAUAUUGAAUCAUCCUGUUCAUCCACCUCAAAGGCUCAAGUUAUUAUCUGAACACAGAGUAUAGUGUAUUAGUGGAAUGAACUAACUGCUACGGUAUGAUAUUAAUCUUAAGAUGCUUAGGCACGCCAGCAGAGUUAGCAAAAGCCAUGUAUUCAAAUUCUCUUCUCUUGUUUCUUUUGACUGGAGUGCUUUCCAGCGAGGGCAUCUCGUACAGUGGCAGGAAUGAUCGCCUUUUCUUGGAUGUGUAUUGUCUAACAGCUGUACCACAGAAUGUUAUUUUCUGGGACAGCCAGACUGGCAGCUCCGCUGCUCCAAAAUAUCCUUUCUUGUUUUAAUGCUUUUGUAAAAAAAGAAAAGAAAAAAGGAUGACCGCAUUUAAAGUGUCUGGUCUUUCAAUAAAAAGUUGUUAUUUA